CAGCUAUCAAACACACAGACACAGAGAUCCCAGACAGAGACUAGAGCGACAGAAUGAGUGCAUGGACAGCUGUGUGUGUGGCUGUGGUCUUGUCUCUCAUUACUCAAGAUGUGUCAGCGCAGUUAUCCGUUUGUGGAAAAGCACCCCUCAAUAACCGUAUAGUGGGUGGGCAGAGUGCCAAAGCGGGCGCAUGGCCAUGGCAGGCCAGCCUACACCGC